rnacentral:rRNA from 1 species
UACGUAGGGGGCAAGCGUUGUCCGGAAUCACUGGGCGUAAAGCGCACGUAGGCGGCUUUCUAAGUCAGGGGUGAAAUCCUGGAGCUCAACUCCAGAACUGCCUUUGAUACUGGAGAGCUUGAGUCCGGAAGAGGUGAGUGGAACUCCGAGUGUAGAGGUGAAAUUCGUAGAUAUUCGCAAGAACACCAGUGGCGAAGGCGGCUCACUGGCCCGGUACUGACGCUGAGGUGCGAAAGCGUGGGGAGCAAACAGGG